AGCGUUAGUACGCGAAGCUGCCGCUUCGUCGUUCGGCUGUUCUCGGCAAACUUCGGCUCCGUGUCCUAUCAGGCGGUGGUGGGGGUAACCUGAAUCGCGAACAGUACGAUAGACGAGGAUAGAGAGAGAGAAAGCAAGAUAGAAAUCAGAGCAGGACGGUGCAGAGAGCGGAGAGUAGCGUGUCUCCUCUCGUGCAUGCGUUUCGUAGCGCGGCACGGUGUGUGUGCGUGCAACACACGGAAAGACAGACAGAAGGACGUAUGCGUGGCGCGGUGAGAAACGUGUUACGAACAGUGACAGACAAGAUGGCGGUGUGCCUUGUGCGGUGGUAGUAACGGUGGUGCGUGGAGCACGUUAAAAAAAAAUAGUGGAACAAAGGGGAUUGUUAAAGGGUUGGCAGCUGGUUACCGUAGCAUGGAGCCAGCUUUUGCAUCGACCACGAGACGUCGCGGUCAUCAGCAUCAUCCGCGACACGCUACGCGCCGACGUCUCGACGCCUCCAGCAGAGGACCCGCGCAGUGUGGCCCUGCUGAUAUCGUUAAAGACUCGGCGAUCGCCAACAACGAAACGCCGACGACUGCAACGUCACCGAGGCUCGACGAAAAGAGCAAUGUCAUCGACACGGAUUGUUCCCAGGCGGUGACAGUACCCACGACCGUCGGCGCGAGGUGGCUCCGCGAUCCGACGGCAACGACACCCACGAAAGACCUAACGUCCAACGAACACGCGAACAAUUUGAAGAAUAAUUUGAAGAACGAUGACAGAGAGGAGGACGUCCGACAGAGGCUCGCGCAGUGUAGCCUGGACGUUCUCGACGAACGACGCGAACAGUCGGUUCACGAUAGAAACGAAAACGAAAGCUGUGACAGCUGCGAGAAACCGUCAGAUGAGUCUCGAUCGAGACCACGUGGGAAGGAAAUACACGAAGACGAGUCUAUCGACUCGAGAAGCAAAGAGAAUUCACCGGAGCCUGAGCACGCGGUCGCGAGGGCUCGCGGUGACGGAAACUCCGACGACGAGUCAACGAACGUCGAGGAGGAUCCGGAACUUGCCGAACUUGCCAAGUUGAGAUGUCCAAGCGAGCGGGCCGAAGUACAGGCCGAAAGGGAGAGGAGAAAACGAAGAUGUGCCGAUUAUCCCGGUUUGGCCUUCGGGUGUUCUAUAUUCUCCAGCGACACGAUGAUGAAAUUCAGUCUGAUAAGGAACGAAUUGCAGAAUAUCAUGAGCAACCAGUUGAAACGGGCUGAGUCCGAAGUAGCCGCUCUGAAUCGUCGCAUUCAAUUGUUGGAGGAGGAUCUCGAGAGAUCCGAGGAACGUCUUGCUACCGCCACUGCUAAAUUAGCAGAGGCGUCGCAGGCUGCGGAUGAGAGCGAACGGAUACGCAAGGCACUCGAAAACCGUACCAAUAUGGAGGAUGACCGGGUAUCCUUGUUGGAGCAGCAACUAGCACAGGCUAAACUGAUCGCCGAGGAGGCGGACAAAAAAUACGAGGAGGUUGCCAGAAAACUAGUCAUGAUGGAACAGGAUCUCGAGCGUGCCGAGGAGAAGGCUGAACUUUCGGAAGGGAAGAUCGUCGAACUGGAAGAGGAACUACGCGUGGUUGGCAACAACUUGAAGUCCCUCGAGGUCUCUGAGGAGAAGGCGACGCAAAGAGAGGAGACUUUCGUGGGACAGGUGAAGAUUCUGGAUAGUCAAUUGAAAGAGGCUGAAGCUCGUGCCGAGUUCGCGGAAAGAUCCGUGCAGAAAUUGCAGAAGGAGGUCGACAGGCUCGAAGACGUGGUGGUAAACGAGCGCUGUAAGUACAAAGCGAUCGCCGACGAGAUGGAUCAGACGUUCGCCGACCUGGCCGGAUAUUAGCAGCCAGGCUGAUUCGACGAGAGCGACGUACACGCGUAUAAACACAUAUGUUAUUUAAACGAGAACAAAAAAGCAAAGGACAGAUCACGCUACGUUAAGAGACACUGCCAGCACGCAGACCCUUCAUCGCACGACGCCCAAAAAUAUUGGUUUUCUCGAUGAGGACGAAGAGGAUGCGACGCCAGGCGUCUCCUCUGCACCUACACAGCGUCAGACGCUCGAUAGAUCUUUCUGAUAGUCUAUCAUAGAUCUUUCCUUCGUUUUAGUUUCAUUCAUUGUAGACUAUUAUGGCAGGAUAAAAACUAUUUCAAAUAAUUCUAAGCAUGUACCAUUGCGAUGGUAAUUGGAAACUAUAGAUCUUUAAUGUUAAUUUGUAUCGGCCAUGAUAGAAUUCCACUGUCGUAGUAUUGUUAGAAUAUCGAAUUAUGUCAUAGUUUUGAGCAUUUGAUUUUUGAACAUGUGUCAUAGUUUCUUUAGAACGUGAUUUUUUAUCGAAAUGAGAUUGUAUAGAAUUUCCUUCAGUGGAAAUUCGAGGGCAUUGAUUUACAUAAGUUUGUUUCAAAUUAUUAAAUUGCUAAAUGUUUCAAUCUAAAACCUCAGUGCCCGCGAAUUCACCACUGAAAGAAACUAAGGGAGAGGAAUUGAAAUUUAUAUCAGCAACGUAAGAAAUAGCAGAAUGUAGAUUUGAAUGCAUUUGUAGUUUGCGCAAAAUUUGUGACAAGGCUGUUUUCAGAGCCCCCCUUUUUUAGCUCUCUGUUUUGUAGAUCUUUAUAGACUUUUAGAUUUAUUACAGGUGUAAGCAGAUGUUGGCCUAGGCCAACGGGUUACGCCCAGAAAGAAAUAUUUAUUUUAUUUCGAGCUUCCAACUAAAAGAAUUACGACUGUUUGUUCUUUUUUACGAUUUGUAUAUUCUACAUGUGUUUUUGAAAAGUUAUGAUUUGACAAUAUUUGAGAUUCUGUUCUUCCUACGAUUUUCGAUGAACAAUUUUCUGUGAGGUUCAUUAUAAAUAAGCUAGAAUAGCUCAAAUGAAGAUGUCAGUCGCGACACAAAUCUUUGAAACUUAUAAUAUUCUCUCUUUAACUAGUGCAGAAACUUUUCAAGUAUAUACUUUUCUUAUUUUUAAGUUUAAAAUUUAAUUAGCUUCUUUCGUAUAAUUUUUAAAGUCGAUGCUGUAUCGCUGUGUAGGCAUAUUCUGCGUUUCAUCCCCACGUUCACAACCUUCUGCCAAUUAUCGUGAAAUUCAGCUUGUACCGUACCUGCCAUCACGUAAAAAGGCUUUCCUUUGUGCCAACGAGUCCAUAAUCUCAACGUACUCAAACAGACACUUGCGUAGAGAUAAUCCACUAAAAAUUACCAGAUUUGUAAAGAUAUAUUUUCUUUUGUCAGACGUGCAAAUGAUAGCCAAAUUGCUAGGUGUCGAUAAGGAAUAAAAGUCUGACGAUUGUUCUACGAAAUUGGGAACAGUUCGAGCGUUUAUCGCGAACGAAAUUAAACAAAUUUUCUAGCAAAAAUCUCGUAAAUUCGUCGAGAUAUUCUUGGAUAUAUUCCAAAGUUUAAAGGAACGAAUGUUUCAUUGUAAACAUAGAUAGUAGUCUACAUUAAAUUACGGUCUGCGUGAAAUUUACUUUUAUUAACAAGCUGUUUAAUUUUCUAUGAUACAUGUUUUUCAUAUUAAAUUUAUAGAGUCAAUAAUUUAUCUUACAAACGAUAAAAUGGAUUCCAUUAAUUUCACGCAGAUUCUAAUCACAAUUUUCUUUGCUUUGUGUCUCAUGAUGUUGCAAGACUGCUACAUGUUUUGAUUAGAAAUAGCUUUUUGUAUCGAGUGUUUCGCUUUUUGAUAAGAAAGAUAAAGUUUGUCAAAAGAAGUACGCUUCUUAAAACGUAAAAUGAUUAGUUAUGUUAUGCUAGAAAAUCGAGAUUUCGACUGCUCUGAGAUUUUCAUCACAAGCAAUUUGCAUCAGACUCUUCUUUUGUUUUACUAAAAAAGCUUAGAACAUUUUAACACCAAAAUUUAUUAUGUAUAUCUGACAAUAUAUGAAAUCUCAGCAGUUGAAAGAAAAUGAUAGAAAAAUUGAUAAGAUUAAGAAUGGCACGCAGUGUUUGAACAUUUUCUAAAAUGUUAACCACGAGAAGCUUUGUAUUCAGAAUUGGGCAUUAUUAGCGUGAAUUUUUCGACGAUUCUCGAUGUAUAUUUUUACGUGGAUGUGGUUCAAUUCUGUACGCAAUUUUCGCACAGUUAAAAUGGUCGUGUGUAUCAACUGAAUAAAGAAUCGAAAAAAUUCUGAAGCAUUGAUUGAGACAAAUUUUGCCCAAGUCUGUUUGAUAUGGACCCAACUAAGAAUGUGCACUUAACAGUCGCGAUAUCGGUCUUUUAAAGCGAUUACCCUUUUACUGUACUUAUGUCACUUUCAAUAAAUGUGCAUUUUUUAUACUUGAAUUAGACGUAUGUUCUCUAGUAAUCGUAAUUUUUGCCAGUAUAAACAAAUAUAUAGACAAAUUUAAAGGACGAAGGGCAAUAAUUAAAGGCAACAAUUUCCAUAACAUAUUGUUUAUGAUCUGUUAAUCAUAAUAUAAUAUUAUCUGUUUAAACAACGCUAACAUAUAUUUCUGUAUGUUUCACAAUUGUGAGUCGUAAAUUCUUAUUGGCGGUUCUAAUAAUUACAAAAAGAGGAGAAAUAAUAUUAUUAAUAAUAUAAUAAUAAUAAUAAUAAUAAUGCUAACAUGUUUCCAAAAAUAUGAAUAUAUCUUCUCGCGGUUUUAUCACGAAGUCGAACGACGACGUCGCGUGAAUGCUUCACGUAACAACAUUACUAUUAUUUGUCAGCUCUUUCGCAACAGAACUGUCCACGUAUCUCAGGUAAAUGCAAUGUGUUUAGAUAUCCGAGGAACCACAGAUUUUUCAACGGAUCAGAAUUUAUAUUUCUCAAACAAACAGCGG